rnacentral:rRNA from 1 species
UUUUAAAGAGCCGCGGUAUUUUGACCGUGCAAAGGUAGCAUAAUCAUUAGUCUCUUAAUUAGGGGCUGGUAUGAAUGGUUUGACGAGAAAUCAUCUGUCUCUUAUUAAAUUAUAGAAUUUAACUUUUAAGUUAAAAGGCUUAAAUUUUUCUUAAAGACGAGAAGACCCUAUAGAGCUUAACAUUUUAUUUUAAUAUAAUUUUUGGUUGGUUUUUUUAUAUUUAAAGAUAAUGUUUUGUUGGGGUGACAUGAAGAAUAAAUAAACUCUUCAUAAUAAAAUCAUUAAUUUAUGUUUAUAUGAUCCAUAAUUUAUGAUCAUAAGAUUUAGUUACCUUAGGGAUAACAGCGUAAUUAUUUUUAAGAGCUCAUAUCGACAAAAUAGAUUGCGACCUCGAUGUUGGAUUAAGAAUAGUUUUGGGUGCAGGAGCCCAAUAAUUAGGUCUGUUCGACCUUUAAAUUCUUACG